rnacentral:misc_RNA from 1 species
AUCUCUCCCUUCAUAUAACUCAUCAAAUGUGCAAUUGACUACUGGAACAAUGAUGCAGUCCCACUGAUUAGCAGUCCAACGGAGACCUUAUAAAUUAAAUAAUGGCGGGAUAUCUCCAAAACUUCCCCCGGCCUGAAAAUACAAGCUUUGUUCCAGUAGAACUAACAAAACUCUGACAGCAUUGAAAUGGAAAUUCAACAAUAAUUUCCUUUCAAAAAUACGGGAAAAGAAUCUACUUCUACAUCUAAUAAUUAGAUUUAAAAAGACAGCAAAUAUUGAGUUUCUACUUAUUGCCUCAUCUUCCAAUAAAAAGUGUGCCAUAUAAUCCCACGCCAAAAACAUGAAAUCUGUCUAUUAAACUGAACAGGAUCUGAGACUUCAAUUCUUCUUUGCUCACAAGGUUUCUAAGGCGAUAUCUGUUGCAUGCUUAGUUAUGGACCAUCGUCAAAUUAAGUAUUUUCUUGCAUUGUUAAGAUUGCAAGGAGUGGCUCUAAUGCACGGGAUUGGACUGUCUAUGUGACAACUCAAGGUAUCCCACAUUCAGAAUUAAUAGGACUCCAUCGU